CCCUGUGGUCCUGCUUUGUACCAGCCUGGCCCGGAACAGGGCAGAACAUUUUCUCCUCAUUAUCACCUCAUCACUCAGUUCCCCUUGUCUGAGUCAGGUCAGGAGGUGGGGCUCAGAGCUUAAGCGCAGGAGCUGAAGUGCUAAUGAGGAGAAAAUGUUCAAGCAUGAACCCUGCCCUCUCAUUCAGGCCCCAUGGAAAAUGGUAACACCGUGAGCUCAUCUUUCUUCUUACUCCUAAGUUCAAAUGGAUUUUAAUGCAGCUUUUUCCUGGAGUGCCUUUUCUGGGACACUUCUGGGUUAGGAGUGACUGCAAGAGAAAUCUGCCCGAGAUUUGGAAGGUGAGACAGAACCUCAGCAGGUCUGCUCUGGAGGUAGGGUAGGGGACCAGGCGCUGCUGCAGCGUAUGCACUCCUGACUGAUCUGCCACUCACCUUGUCAGCAUGGGGCAGCAGCGAAGCUGCAGGUCCUCGGAAUCCCACACAAUCUCCUCUUUCAGUCUCCUGAACCAGACACAGGCUCUACCAGCUCCUCUUGGUGACUCUUCUCUGAUGUCGCAGAUAUUCCCUUCAGGACUUCCACUUCACUGGUUUCUCCCACAGCUGUGCAAGGUGUAAUCUAUAUAAUAAAUCCCUUGUUCACAUCA
rnacentral:lncRNA from 13 species